UACGUAGGGGGCAAGCGUUGUCCGGAUUUAUUGGGCGUAAAGAGCGUGUAGGCGGCUAGAUAGGUCCGUUGUGAAAACUCGAGGCUCAACCUCGAGACGCCGGUGGAAACCAUCUAGCUAGAGUCCGGAAGAGGAGAGUGGAAUUCCUGGUGUAGCGGUGAAAUGCGCAGAUAUCAGGAAGAACACCCGUGGCGAAGGCGGCUACCUGGACAAUUGCUGACGCUCAGGCACGAAAGCGUGGGGAGCAAAAGGG
rnacentral:rRNA from 1 species